CCGAAGGCAACAACAACUGUGCUAAGGGGGGACACAAUACACUGUGCUAAGGGAACCACCAGGUGAAGAAAGCAACAACAAUUGGAACCACAAGGGUGCUAAGGGAACCACAAGGGUGCAGGCAACAGCAACUGUGCUAAGGGGGGACACAAUGCUAAGGGGAAAAACAAUACAGCUGUGCUAAGGGAACCAAAAGUGGAAGAAGGCAACAACAGCUUGCUGUGCAACGAAGGCAACAACAACUGGAACUACAAGGGUGUAGGCAUCAACAACUACUGGGGGAAGAAAGGGAACCAGAAGGGUGCUAAGGAAACCACAAUUGGAAUCACAAGGGCGCUAAGGCAACAACUGUUGGGGGAAGAGGGAACCACAAGGGUGCAGGCAACAACUUGGAAGGUAACAACAACUGUUGGGUGAAGAAGGGGAACCACAAUUGUAACCACAAGGGUGCUAAGGGAAGAGAGUACGCUCUUGAUUCCUUCUAAUGAAAUCCAGAUUGCACACUUAUGGCUUUAGAGAGAGAAAAUGCUUAAUGGAUUUAGAGAGAGAAACCUCACCAUGAGAGAGAGAUCGCUUUCUGGCCUUAUAGAAAGGAAAUCUGUAAGGCCGUUCGAUCUCUGAC
rnacentral:misc_RNA from 1 species